rnacentral:rRNA from 1 species
AACGAACGCUGGCGGCAUGCCUAACACAUGCAAGUCGAACGAAGCCUUCGGGCUUAGUGGCGCACGGGUGCGUAACACGUGGGAAUCUGCCCUUCGGUUCGGAAUAACAGUUAGAAAUGACUGCUAAUACCGGAUGAUGACGUAAGUCCAAAGAUUUAUCGCCGAAGGAUGAGCCCGCGUAGGAUUAGGUAGUUGGUAGGGGUAAUGGCCUACCAAGCCGACGAUCCUUAGCUGGUCUGAGAGGAUGAUCAGCCACACUGGGACUGAGACACGGCCCAGACUCCUACGGGGGGCAGCAGUAGGGAAUUUUCGGCAAUGGGCGAAAGCCUGACCGAGCGACGCCGCGUGAGGGACGAAGGCCUUCGGGUUGUAAACCUCUUUCAGCAGGGAAGAAGCGAAAGUGACGGUACCUGCAGAAGAAGCACCGGCUAACUACGUG